rnacentral:lncRNA from 1 species
GUUGCCAUUCCCUUCUCCAGGGGAUCUUCCCGACACAGGGAUUGAACCCAGGUCUGCAUUCCAGGCAGAGGCUUUAACCUCUGAGCCACCAGGGAGUGAGUUCCAAAGGGUGGAUUCAAACAGCUGCUGAUCAAGGGAGGAACAGCCAAGAAACCACCUGAUACAAGAUUAAACAGACCAGAGAAACUCAUCAAGAUUAGGGGACUGACCAUCUGAGAUGAGAUUAAGGGAAUCCAAGCCUUGUUCACACCCUAAUCUUGUCACAGAUCCCAGCUUUAACCCAUUGUUAUAAAACCCCUCAUCAGGUUCUCUGGGGUGGAGACACAUAGUUUAUUGGGGCAGAAAUCCAGUGUUUGGCAAAGCAAUAAAGCUUUUUAGUUUAUCCAAAACUCUGUCUCUCGGAUUUGAUUCAGCACUGGUCUAAAGAUAGGCCAAGCUUUCAGUAACACUGGGUCCUUCUUGAUUUCAUGCUUAUGAACAAAUCCAUCAUUAACACUGUUUAAUUCACUAGGCAUUUUAUGUAUACAUGUGUUUUUAUAAAUGAUAAUCAUGAAGAUUUGAAGUUCCCACUACUUGUGAAUGUGACCUUAUUGGGAAGUAAGGUCUUUUGUAGGUGACCAAGUGAAGAUGAGGUCUUUAGAGUGGACUCAAAUACAACAUGAGUGAUGUCCUUAUCAAAAAGGGAAAUGUGGACAUAGAGACAAAUGGGCAUACACAGAAGAUGAUGUGAAGGGACACAAGGAGAAUGCCAUUAUAAAGCCAAGGAAUGCCUGAUGCUAGCAGAAACAAGGAGAGAAGCACAGAACCAAUUCUUCAUGUCCUUCAGGCACCUUGAUUUCAGAUUUCUGGUUCCAGAAGUGAGAUAAUAAAUGUUUGUCAUUUAAGCCACCCAGUGUAUGCUACUUUGUUCCAGCAGUCCCAGGAAAUGAAUACAAAUGGUAAAAAGGACUUUGAAUUUGUUAAGAUGAUGAUUUUUAGAUGGAGAGUUUGCCCUGAGUUUGUGGUUUAGUCGCUAUUGCGUCCAAUUCUUUGUGACCCCAUGGACUAUAG